rnacentral:rRNA from 1 species
AAUAUUGGACAAUGGGCGAAAGCCUGAUCCAGCCAUGCCGCGUGGAUGAUGACGGCCCUAGGGUUGUAAAGUCCUUUCGACGGGGAAGAUAAUGACGGUACCAGUAUAAGAAGUCCCGGCUAACUUCGUGCCAGCAGCCGCGGUAAUACGAAGGGGGCUAGCUUUGCUCGGAAUCACGGGGCGUAAAGCUCACGUAGGCGGCUUUUUAAGUCAGGGGUGAAAUCCUGGAGCUCAACUCCAGAACUGCCUUUGAUACUGGAGAGCUUGAGUUCGGGAGAGGUGAGUGGAACUGCGAGUGUAGAGGUGAAAUUCGUAGAUAUUCGCAAGAACACCAGUGGCGAAGGCGGCUCACUGGCCCGAUACUGACGCUGAGGUGCGAAAGCGUGGGGAGCAAACAGG